CAUCUUUUUUUCAGGGUUUUACUCUACUGCGAUUCUGUGACCACAGAAGACCUCAGCUCUUCCUCCGUACCUCUUCGUCUCCUAAACACUCCGAACACCGCCUCUGUAACUUCAUCUGUUUCCGUAUUACAUCUCCUUAAAUCUCACCAUUUAUUUGAACCCACUACUCAUCCCACUCUUUCUCAAUUAAACAUUGUCAUUAUCAUCAAAGGUAACCGCUCGAAGCUUUUUAGUAUAAAUGUGUUUCUUCUCUACGAUGAGAAGCCACACUGCUACAUAAUCUCAAAUUCCAGACGUUGUCAAGCUUUGAAUCCAACAAUGGAUAAUUCCUACACGUUUCUUUCCAACACGCAGAGGUCCGCCUUCUCAGGUUUUGAAUGUCAAGAAAGUGGGCCAACUGAUGAGUGUCAACAUGCUCUUCCUGAAUGAGAAGGUAACUCCGACGAACUCAGUCUAAGUCGAUGAUGAUUCAAGGUUCUGUUAACGCACUCCGGCUCAAUGAUCAAACUCGAGUUUUAGUAGCAGUGUAGCGAAUAAAGAUGAUUAUCAAACCAUCACAUGUAUAUUAGCUGAAGAUGAGAGCUUAAGAAGAGGCAUCUUGCUCGGGACGAGAUUGUCUCAUUUAGAUUGAUUCAUGUUGGCCACAUAUGGGUUAGCUGAAGGAACAUUCAAUAGACUUUUUAUCUACGUUGCAUGGAAGCGUGUCUCGCGUACUGGUUCCUGG